UUCCAUGGUGCAUGAUGAUGCCUGUUCUUGGAAGAGGAUCAUUAGCUCUAAAGAACUUGGAAGGUACAACUGGCUGCAUAGAGAAGAAUAGGGACAGGAGGUGCUCAACAUCCUGCGUAAUGAAUGAUGUCUUCAGAGUUCAGGCAGAGUCCAGCGCCUCCAGCUAGGUAAUGCGAGAGCCGAGACACUUUCUGCUAUGGCACACUGCUCUUGUCUUCUCAAGGCUCGAGUCCUUCAUUGCUGGAAUGGAUUGGGAGGCUUACAACAAAGAAAAAAGUCACAUCGUCCUGGCAAGGAGAAGAAAGGUGAAAAUACAGAAUUUGCUGCAUGAUGAACCAUGUUCAGUUUGCCUUGAAACUUAGAUUCUAGCUACCUGCCUCAAUAUCUGCUGAGACUGACAGCAGUGAUAGUGCUUCUAGGUGGCUUUCUGGGGAACCGGCUGUAGCAUAACCUGGCUUGACCACUGUACCGUGACUCAGCCUGGCAGAAAAGUGAUUUGCUCACCAUCACGUUGGAAACAUAUGCUGAAAGCUGAUCAGAAACGUAGAAAUCCUUGUUUCCAUUCCUGCUUUAUGGCUUCUGUAGACUUGGCUGUAAAACCUAAAUUUCCACAUGGACCUGUGCAAAAGUUGAUGUUCCGUCU